UCAACACUAUAAGAGUAUUGUUAUCCUUAGCAGUAAAUAAUGAUCGGAUACUUCAUCAACUUGAUGUCAAGAAUGCAUUUCUCAAUGGCAAUCUUGAAGAUGAGGUUUAUAUAAAGAUACCUCCUGGACUU